rnacentral:rRNA from 1 species
CCGCUGACGACCGGCGCACGGGUGCGUAACGCGUAUGCAACCUACCUUCUACAGGGGGAUAGUCAAUAGAAAUGUUGAAUAAUACCCCAUACGAUCUUUGAAUAGCAUUAUUUAAAGAAGAAAGCUCCGGCGGUAGAAGAUGGGCAUGCGUCCUAUUAGUUAGUUGGUAAGGUAACGGCUUACCAAGACUUCGAUAGGUAGGGGUCCUGAGAGGGAGACCCCCCACACUGGUACUGAGACACGGACCAGACUCCUACGGGAGGCAGCAGUGAGGAAUAUUGGACAAUGGAGGCAACUCUGAUCCAGCCAUGCCGCGUGCAGGAAGACUGCCCUAUGGGUUGUAAACUGCUUUUAUACAGGAAGAAAUAUACCUACGUGUAGGUAUUUGACGGUACUGUACGAAUAAGGAUCGGCUAACUCCGUGCCAGCAGCCGCGGUAAUACGGAGGAUCCAAGCGUUAUCCGGAAUCAUUGGGUUUAAAGGGUCCGUAGGCGGUCUUUUAAGUCAGAGGUGAAAUCCUACAGCUCAACUGUAGAAUUGCCUUUGAUACCGAAAGACUUGAGUUAUUGUGAAGUAGUUAGAAUGUGUGGUGUAGCGGUGAAAUGCAUAGAGAUCACACAGAAUACCGAUUGCGAAGGCAGAUUACUAACAAUAUACUGACGCUGAGGGACGAAAGCGUGGGUAGCGAACAGGAUU